rnacentral:rRNA from 1 species
AUGGCGAAGCUGCUGCCGGCCGGCCUCGCGUUCCUCCUGGCCCUCGCCGCGGCGGCGGCGCUGGCCCCGUCCCCGGCCUCGGCCUUGAAGGGCGCCGGCGGGCUGGGACUCGGAGGCGCGGCGGCCGUGGUGAUGCGCCGGGGCGGGCGGACGUGCCGGGGCACGGUUGGCGAGUGCAUGGAGUACUUCGGCGUGGACGGCGAGGGCGAGGGCGAGGUGGCGGCGAUGGCUGGCAAGCGGCGGGUGCUGCAGGACGGGUCCGGGUACAUCGGCUACGACGCGCUGCGGCGGGACAACGUGCCGUGCUCGCAGCGCGGCGCCUCCUACUACAACUGCCAGCCCGGCGCCGAGGCCAACCCCUACUCCCGCGGAUGCAGCGCCAUCACCCAGUGCAGGGGCUGA